CCAAUAUCUAAAACAUGCUUAUUGAGGGUCUGCUCCUUUCUCUGCCCCUGACCACGGCAGCAUCUCUACUUCUGGAUUUGGUCCCCAGGUGCUGGACUCUGGCUGCCCACUGCUCCUAGUGGUUGGAUUGUAUAAAAUGCUGUGGACAGGU